GGGCGGGGCGGAACGGCAGUGCCGGUGAGCGGAGGGGUGCUGUGGGGCUCCGAGAUCACUAAAAAAUAAAUAGCAAUCUAUCUACUUGAUAAUACAUCUGAUACUGAUUUUGUUCACUGAGAAGAGGGAGAAAAAGGAUGAAGAGCUGAUGGCUCAAGCUGAGGAGACAGGGUGAACUUACUAGCUGUAUUACCCAUCUGUGGUGGAGAAGAUGGCUUUGCAGGCUUUAUGUGCCUUCAUGCUGGAGGUGAAUGAAGUGCAAGCAGUGCAGAAGACCCUGGAGCAGUAUGUUUUGCAACUGAGUGCUGAUGACAAUAUUCAUCUGGGAGAUGUGAAAUGAAUCAAAGGACAGAAGGCUGCUGAACCAGAAGUGACUAUUGCACAUGGACGGCUCAGAGGAAAACAAGUAAAUGUGAAGGGAACAGACAGACUUGUAAAUGUUUUCCUUGGGAUUCCUUUUGCAAAAGCACCCGUUGGAUCUCUGAGGUUUUCCCCACCUGAACCACCUGACCCCUGGAAUGAUCUGAAAGACGCAACUUCUUACCCACCACUAUGUCCUCAAGAUCUGGCAAUGUUGAAAAAAGCUGAAAAAAAUUAUAAAGAAAAACACAUUCAAUUCCGAACUUCUGAGGACUGCUUGUAUCUAAAUGUUUAUAGCCCUGCAGACAAGAAGAACAAAUUACCCGUAAUGGUGUGGAUUCAUGGAGGCAAUUUUGUAUUUGGUGGUGCUUCUAGGUACGAUGGUUCAGCACUAUCAGCCUAUGAGGAUAUUGUAGUAGUAAUAAUUCAGUACAGACUUGGACUCCUUGGAUUUUUCAAUACUGGUGAUGAACAUGCUCGUGGGAACUGGGCAUUUUUGGAUCAAGUGGAAGCUCUUCGGUGGGUCCAGGAAAACAUUGAACACUUUGGUGGGGAUCCAGGAUCAGUCACACUCUUUGGUGUAUCUGCAGGAUCUUGCUCUGUUUUUGCACAUGUUUUAUCUACUUUGUCUAAGGGUCUCUUUCAUAAAGCAAUAUUAGAAAGUGGAGUUCUAAUUCCCUCUAAUAAAGAUUUACUUCUUUCAGCAGAUGUUAAGAAAAUUGCAGAUAUAUUUAAGUGUGAGACCAACAGUUCACUCUCACUAGUAAACUGCUUGAGGAACCGGGAAGCAAUGGAUAUAGUCUUUAACAGUACAGAAAUCCCAUUUCUUCCUUUAGUUUUGGAUGGAGUAUUUCUUCAUAAGUCACCUGAAGAUAUAUUGGCUGGAAAAGAAUUUAACGUGGUCCCGUUUAUGAUAGGAGUCACCAAUAAUGAAUUUGGCUGGAAUGUUAGAUCUACAUCAACAAUACCAGCUUUGAGGGAUGUGGGAGAUAAAAGAUCAAUCACUUCAGCUUUAGAGUUUCUACUAUCAAUGAUGAAUUUACCAGCAGAAUUGUUGCCUGUAAUAAUGGAUGAAUAUCUGGGAAAUACAGAUGAUCCUGCUGAGCUACGGGACCGAUUUCUGGAAUUGCUGGGGGAUGUAUUUAUUGUCAUACCAUCCAUCAAAGCACUGAGUUAUUACCGGGAGUCUGGAGCUCCCACCUACUUGUUUGAGUAUCAGCAUCGUCCAACUUCAUACUCGGAUACUAAACCAGAGUAUGUGAAAGCUGAUCAUGGAGAUGAAGUUGGCUUUGUCUUUGGAGGACCUUAUCUGGCGGGUGACAUAAGCCUGCGGGAUGAAGCAACAGAGGAAGAAAAGAACCUUAGCAGAACUCUAAUGAAGUACUGGGCAAACUUUGCUCGAAAUGGGAGCCCUAAUGGGGAAGGUCUGGCUGAAUGGCCAUCGUAUAAUCUAAAUGAAGAAUACUUGGAGAUAAAUCUAAAGCAAAGGAAAGCCAGAAAGUUGAAGGAAAAGAAGGCAGACUUCUGGGAAAAGAUAGCGGUGAUGUCCCAGAGGUUUUGGCCUGAUUCACACACAGGAACGUCCUCUGAGAUUUUUCACGAAAGUUCUGUUCUGUGGCUAUUGAAAUCAAGACGUAGCAGUACAUUAGGGUGCAGGAGGCAAAUGUCAUCAUGUGGCAGGGUUUUUCUGCCUUGGUCUCUGACUUGUGCAUUGUUCACUGAUUGAACGUGAACUGCAAAAUGCUCUCCAUUAAAAUGAAAUGCCAGGCAGCAUUCAAGAAUUCCGCUUCCCAGCUGUACUUACAGAGUACUAAAGGCAGUGCACGGAGUGGGUCAGUGUGUGAGUAGGCUGCAAAAUGGCAACUGAAAAGAACACGCUGCUGUCCUUGAUUCUCACCGCCGGGAUCACGGCUCUCGUAGCGACUGG